rnacentral:rRNA from 1 species
UUAAGCAUAUCACUGAGCGCAGGAGAAGAAACUAACCAGGAUUUCCCUAGUAACGGCGAGCGAACCGGAAAGAGCCCAGCUUGAAAAUCGUGGCGCCCCGGCGCCUCGAAUUGUAGUCUGGAGAAGGUCCCUCUGCGGCGCGCCGGAUUCAAGUUCCCUGGAAUGGGACGUCCGAGAGGGUGAGAACCCCGUCGUAUCCGGAGUGCGUCGCUCCACGAGGACCUGUCUGCGAGUCGGGCUGUUUGGGAAUGCAGCCCUAAGCGGGUGGUAAAUUCCAUCCAAGGCUAAAUAUUGGCAAGAGACCGAUAGCGAACAAGUACCGCGAGGGAAAGAUGAAAAGGACUUUGAAAAGAGAGUUAAAAAGUGCUUGAAAUUGCUGGGAGGGAAGCGAAUGGAAGCUGCGGGUGCGCCCCGGUUGGAUGCGGAACGGCCGUCAGACGCUGGUCCGCCGCUCAACGCGGGGCGCUGGUCAGCGUGGGCCAUCGCGGCGGGACAAGAGCGGGGAUUCGCUUCCCGCCGAUGCCGCCGCGGUGGCCGAGGAACGAAGCGCGCGCCUUCCGGCGUGGGACUCGUCCCAACUGCGCGCUCGAGACGCUGGCGUAUUGAGCUCUUCAUCCGACCCGUCUUGAAACACGGACCAAGGAGUCUAACAUGUAUGCGAGCCGGUGGGCGGCAAACCCAUUGAGGCGCAAGUAACCUGACAGGUGGGACCCCGACCGCAAGGGAGGGAGCACCAUCGACCGACCGUGAUCUUCUGUGAAGGGUUC